UGGGGAAUAUUGCACAAUGGGCGCAAGCCUGAUGCAGCAACGCCGCGUGAACGAUGAAGGUCUUCGGAUCGUAAAGUUCUGUUGCAGGGGAAGAUAAUGACGGUACCCUGUGAGGAAGCCCCGGCUAACUACGUGCCAGCAGCCGCGGUAAUACGUAGGGGGCUAGCGUUAUCCGGAUUUACUGGGCGUAAAGGGUGCGUAGGUGGUUUAGAAAGUCUGAUGUGAAAGCCCACGGCUCAACCGUGGAGGGUCAUUGGAAACUAAUAAACUUGAGUGCAGGAGAGAAAAGUGGAAUUCCUAGUGUAGCGGUGAAAUGCGUAGAGAUUAGGAGGAACACCGGUGGCGAAAGCGGCUUUUUGGCCUGCAACUGACACUGAGGCGCGAAAGCGUGGGGAGCAAACAGG
rnacentral:rRNA from 1 species